CGGAACGGGUGAGUAACGCGUGAGGAACCUGCCUCAAAGAGGGGGGAAACAGUUGGAAACGACUGCUAAUACCGCAUAAGCCCACGGCUCGGCAUCGAGCAGAGGGAAAAGGAGUGAUCCGCUUUGAGAUGGCCUCGCGUCCGAUUAGCUAGUUGGUGAGGUAACGGCCCACCAAGGCGACGAUCGGUAGCCGGACUGAGAGGUUGAACGGCCACAUUGGGACUGAGACACGGCCCAG
rnacentral:rRNA from 1 species